rnacentral:rRNA from 1 species
CAGCCAUGCCGCGUGCAGGAUGACGGCCCUACGGGUUGUAAACUGCUUUUAUAUGGRAAWAAACCCCCGAACGUGNNCGGGGCUGAMGGUACCAUACGAAUAAGGAUCGGCUAACUCCGUGCCAGCAGCCGCGGUAAUACGGAGGAUCCRAGCGUUAUCCGGAUUCAUUGGGUUUAAAGGGUCCGCAGGCGGGGCGCUAAGUCARUGGUGAAAGCCUACCGCUCAACGGUAGGACUGCCAUUGAUACUGGUGCUCUUGAGUGUAGUUGAAGUGGGCGGAAUGAGUCAUGUAGCGGUGAAAUGCAUAGAUAUGACUCAGAACACCGAUUGCGAAGGCAGCUCACUAAGCUAACACUGACGCUCAGGGACGAAAGCGUGGGUAGCAAACAGGAUUAGAUACCCUGGUAGUCCACGCUGUAAACUAUGAUCACUCGCUGUUGGCGAUAUACUGUCAGCGGCCAAGCGAAAGCAUUAAGUGAUCCACCUGGGGAGUACGCUCGCAAGAGUGAAACUCAAAUGAAUUGACGGG